AUUGAACGCUGGCGGCAGGCCUAACACAUGCAAGUCGAGCGAGCGGCGGACGGGUGAGUAAUGUAUGGGGCCUGCCCGAUAGAGGGGGAUAACUACUGGAAACGGUAGCUAAUACCGCAUACUAUCGGAUAACCCAUAUGGGAUUAGCUAGUAGGUGAGGUAAUGGCUCACCUAGGCGACGAUCCCUAGCUGGUCUGAGAGGAUGAUCAGCAACACGGGGCAGGAGACACGGCGCGAAAUCCACCGGAGUCAGCAGUGGGAAAUAUUGCACAAUGGGCGCAAGCCGGAUGCAGCCAUGCCGCGUGUAUGAAUAAGGCCUUAGGUUUGGAAAGUACUUUCAGUGGGGAGGCGUUACCGACAGAAGAAGCACCGGCUAACUCCGUGCCAGCAGCCGAGGUAAAAC
rnacentral:rRNA from 1 species